rnacentral:lncRNA from 1 species
AACCUCCUCUCAUCACUGAAGUUCUCAUCUGUCCCCCAGCCUUUCUCUAGGAAUUCUUUCUUGUUCCCAUCUCUCAGGACCUAUGACUGGAGACAGAGACCGUGCUCCAGACUUUGCAAUCAGAGAUGUUUUCACCCAAAGGUAAUGGACAUGCAGGACUUAGAAAGUCAAAGCUGGUCUCGGCUGGGGAGGUAAUCACACAGUCAAACUGGUUCAGCCAGACAGCCUGCCAAUUCUGGGUUUCUGCUCCGGGCUUCUAAAGGUGACCAAGCAAGUCCUCGGAUAAGAAUGCAAGUGAGCAAAAUAACAAAUUCUUCUGAUACGACCUUUUCUUUCUCUGAAACACGAUCUCACUGCCUAGCUCUUGCUAGCGUGAAACUCACUCUGUAGACCAGGCUAGCCUCUAACUCACGGAGAUCCGCCUGCUUCUUCCUCCCAAGCGAUGGGCUUUUGUUAGGAUAUAAUACCUUAGUCCUCAAAGUCUCCAGGAAGACAGACAGCAGAGGCCUGGACCUAGCUGUCCCUGGAGAAGCUGCAGGACAGGUGCAGCUAUAAUGGCCUGUGCAAGAAGGAAGCUUCCUGGAGCACACAUGCGGCCAGAAGCAUCAGAAGGGCCCACUGUGGUCCGGGCCAGCUCCUGUUACAAGUCAGAUGUUGGAGGGAUUUGAGAGAGUCACUUCAUUCCUUCUGACUCUCGUUGGUUCUAUCACACAAGCGGCUUCCAAACCUACCUUUAAGGUUCAGGCACAAAAGCUUCAGGAAGUCAAGCGUCUGUUUUCAAGAUGGGUAUAAAGGACCGUACUAGCUUG